rnacentral:rRNA from 1 species
AUUGAACGCUGGCGGCAGGCUUAACACAUGCAAGUCGAGCGGGGACUUCGGUCCUAGCGGCGAACGGGUGAGGAAUGCUUGGGAAUCUGCCUUGUAGUGGGGGAUAACGUUUCGAAAGGAACGCUAAUACCGCAUACGUCCUACGGGAGAAAGGGGGGGAUCUUCGGACCUCGCGCUAGAAGAUGAGCCCAAGUCGGAUUAGCUAGCUGGUGGGGUAAAGGCUCACCAAGGCGACGAUCCGUAGCUGGUCUGAGAGGAUGAUCAGCCACACUGGAACGGAGACACGGUCCAGACUCCUACGGGAGGCAGCAGUGGGGAAUAUUGGACAAUGGGCGAAAGCCUGAUCCAGCCAUGCCGCAUGUGUGAAGAAGGCCUUCGGGUUGUAAAGCACUUUAAGCGAGGAGGAAUGGCUCUGGGUUAAUACCCUUGAGCAGUGACGUUACUCGCAGAAUAAGCACCGGCUAACUCUGUGCCAGCAGCCGCCGUAA